UACUGUUCACUAAGCCUACCAAAUUUUCUUUUUAAGGUCUCAAGGAUCUCAAAACAAGAAGGGUUUAUUGGAGGAAUAAAAAACGUUCCUCAGUGGUUAUACCAUUUGACGGAAUCCCGUUUAUCUACGUUGCCGAAAAGCGGCUUCAGUGCCAACACGGCAAAGGUAGAAACAAAGAGAAGAAGCAAGAUUACUGCCCAGUCGUCAUCGUAGAGGAACAAGUGCUAAAGUUUCCACAGUUCAAGAUUACUAUGUCUAACACGAAGUGGCACAAAGACAAGAUACCAAAAACUGUACGCCAGUACCUAAAAGAAAAACCUCUGGAAGCAGAGAUAAAAUUUUAUACCAAUUUACCUGAUCUUGCAGAACACAAACACCACAAA